AACGAACGCUGGCGGCGCGCCUAAUACAUGCAAGUCGAGCGAGAAGACGUAGCAAUACGUUUGUAAAGCGGCGAACGGGUGAGGAAUACAUGGGUAACCUACCCUAGAGUGGGGAAUAACUAGCCGAAAGGUUAGCUAAUACCGCGUACGCUCCUUGGACUUCGGUUCAGGGAGGAAAGCGAUACCGUGGGUAUCGCGCUCUUGGAUGGGCUCAUGUCCUAUCAGCUUGUGGUGAGGUAACGGCUCACCAAGGCUUCGACGGGUAGCUGGUCUGAGAGGACGAUCAGCCACACUGGCACUGCGACACGGGCCAGACUCCUACGGGAGGCAGCAGUAAGGAAUAUUGCGCAAUGGGCGAAAGCCUGACGCAGCGACGCCGCGGUGGGGGAGUGAAGGUC
rnacentral:rRNA from 1 species